rnacentral:rRNA from 1 species
UCCUUAGAUGUUCUGGGCCGCACGCGCGCUACACUGUUUGAUUCAGCGAGUCUUAACCUUGACCGAAAGGUUUGGGUAAUCUUCUAAAGUCAAACGUGAUGGGGAUCGAUCAUUGCAAUUAUUGAUCGUGAACGAGGAAUUCCUAGUAAAUGCAAGUCAUCAGCUUGCGUUGAUUACGUCCCUGCCCUUUGUACACACCGCCCGUCGCUACUACCGAUUGAAUGGUUUAGUGAGAUCUCCGGAUUGGCUCUGUAGGUCCCGCAAGGGAUUUAUUAGUAGCCAAGAAGCUGCUCAAACUUGAUCAUUUAGAGGAAGUAAAAGUCGUAACA